rnacentral:rRNA from 1 species
CAAAGAACUUUGAAGAGAGAGUUCAAGAGGGCGUGAAACCGUUUAGAGGGAAGCAGGUAGAGCCGAUGAAUGUAGGUGGCAUUCAGCCCAAGUGGAUCACGAGGGUGUAUUUGCUGCCUACGGCGUUGGGAGGGAUGGUGCUUGCGGUUUAACUAAGCAUAGAGGGCCGCUUCUGUGGUAUCCUUUGCUUGACGAAGCUGCUUCGUUCUAUCCUUUGYAUGCGUUUGCCCGAAGGCGCUCUCUUGCAUAUCCUUUUCUGUCCAUUCAAAGUGUCGAGCUUGCUCGCAUUGGGGGUGGCGCGGUGAGGAUGUGUGGAGGGAGAAAGGCGCAUAUCCCAGCGAAAAAGUCGGCUACCUUCCUGACCCGUCUUGAAACACGGACCAAGGAGUCUAACAUGUGCGCGAGUUGAAAGGUGGUAAACCUUAAUAGCGCAAUGAAGGUAAAGGUCAGUUAAACUGACUUUUAUGGGACCUUCCACGGCAGUGGUUGGGCACCAUAGUCCCGUCGCGUCUGCUUGUCAGUGCGGCGGAGACAGAGCGUACACGUUGGGACCCGAAAGAUGGUGAACUAUGCCUGAGCAGGAUGAAGCCAGGGGAAACUCUGGUGGAGGUCCGAAGCGGUUCUGACGUGCAAAUCGAUCGUCAGACUUGGGUAUAGGGGCGAAAGACUAAUCGAACCAUC